ensembl:lncRNA
GGGACGUCAGAAAGAAAAUGCCCAGGGCGGAAUUUCAUUCUCCCUCUCUUUUUCAUAGUCCCUCUCAUGCACAAUGUGGAGUAGAGCCAACCGUUCAGUCUCGGAGUAAAGCAGAGUUGCAUCUCCUGGUGGAAACCAGCUUCCAGAACAGAAUGGUCAGGGAUGUGGGCAGCAAAACAGAACCAAGAGGUCUGAUCUUGACUUUUCACCACACCCAGAUUUCCCAUUGACUUCAAGGAACAGGAUUCUGUGGGGGCAGUGUGAAAGUCACCCAAUAGAGUUUUUCAAGAGGAAGCUGCUGAAUACAUCAACAACACAAUUUACAUAGAUCUAAAAGAUGCCAACAAGUUCUCUAUGGCAAGUAUGACG